rnacentral:lncRNA from 1 species
CCUUGAGCAGUAGGAUAUAAAUAACUCCCUUGUGUUUAGCAUUCCAGUAAUGGAACACUAGCCAUAAUAAACCGUUCCAAAAAUGCGUUCUAAUGGCUCUCAAGCAAGGUCCACUUGCAGUGAAAUAAACCAGAGGUUUGAAUCAUGGCUUGAUACGAAAUUAUUGGAAAGAAUAUGGCGAUGACAUCCACAAUGCCGGUAAGAAGACGAAAUUACAAGCAGGAUGAAAAAUUUGUUCAAUGAAACACAGCUAUUAAGUGGCUGACCUAAUAAGUGUUAUGUAUAAGUGACUCAUCCAUUGUAGCUUCUGGGACUCAACUUUAGGAUCAUCGUCAUAUGCAGCCUGGAGCUAGCCAUAUUUGAAGAGCUAGGAAGGAGGCACAGUGAUUGACAAUCUCCUUUCUCCUCAACUAGAAUGUCAUUUCCUUUUUUAAAACUAAUUUAAAUCCCAUCUACAUUCAAUUGCUUGUCUAAAAUAAAACCCAACUCCUCUCUUAAAGACUUUAAAAAUAUUAUAUAGCAGAGUUCAUCCUUUCUUUCUUCAGAGAAAGCAUCAUGAAAACAUGUUUUCAGGACAUUAAUAACUUGAUAUUCACAACCAACCUUUAAAUUUGGAAACAAGGAAUUCAUAACUACGUUGUAUAUAUAUGAAGAAAGUAAGCCUCAGAGAAUUUCAAGAGCCCGUCCAGGAUAGUCUGCUUCAGAGCCAUGGUUCUCAAAGUAUAUCAGAUCUCCAGAGUAGGUCUGCAGUGGGAGCCAAAAUUUUGCAUUUCUAACUUGGUCCCAGGUGAUACUUGUGCUGGCGCUGCUAGUCUACACUUAACUCUAUUCACUUUUUUUGUGUUUUCUUAGGAUAAAGAAAAUAUUUAGAAGAUGAGAUUCCUGUGUUUCUGGCUUUCAUUUUACUGGUCAUUCCUGCCAUGAGAAGAUGAUAGAGAAUAUCACCACAGUGUGACUUGCUUCCAAGGCAGCAUGGUUUCAUGCAGAGGAUCUAAACUGGGGACCAUGUGCUGGGCUGCAAAAGGGCUGUGCAGUGCCUAAAAUGUUAUGCAAAAUUUUAUAAAGGUAGGUCAUGUAUUGCUCCAUUGAUGCUGCCCUUAUUCAUGAUGAUUAAAGCCUUUGGGAGGUAUUCCUUCAGAAUAAUUUUCCUCAUCUGAAGGGGGUAUGUGAUCAAAGGGAUGAGAAAUUUAUGGGAGAGGAGGACAUCACAGACCCAACCACAUGCAGAAUGGGAGAUGAUGAACCCAGCCAGUUCCUUUGGAAUGGCCCAUGAAUACAAAGCUUUAUUCAUUCAUCAGGAUCCAGGCACCCAUUACACUAUGAGGGUGUAGUAAAAGCUGUAGACUAACUCAGAAAUAAGACUCGCAUCAAAAUGCAUGUGAAUAUAUUAAGCAAGUUAAGAAAGGCUGGAGACUAGGAAGAUGACUGUUCCACUAAGAAGUUCA